rnacentral:rRNA from 1 species
GAUGAACGCUAGCGAUAGGCUUAACACAUGCAAGUCGAGGGGCAGCGAGGGUAGCAAUACCUGUCGGCGACCGGCGCACGGGUGAGUAACGCGUAUGUAACCUGCCCGCAACAGGGGGAUAACCCGGCGAAAGUCGGACUAAUACCGCAUAAAACAGGGGUCCCGCAUGGGAAUAUUUGUUAAAGAUUUAUCGGUUGCGGAUGGGCAUGCGUACCAUUAGGUAGUUGGUGAGGUAACGGCUCACCAAGCCUUCGAUGGUUAGGGGUUCUGAGAGGAAGGUCCCCCACACUGGUACUGAGACACGGACCAGACUCCUACGGGAGGCAGCAGUGAGGAAUAUUGGUCAAUGGGCGAGAGCCUGAACCAGCCAAGUCGCGUGAAGGAUGACUGCCCUAUGGGUUGCAAACUUCUUUUACAAGGGAAUAAAAUGAGAUACGUGUAUUUUAUUGCAUGUACCUUGGGAAUAAGCAUCGGCUAACUCCGUG